GAAGGGAAAUCUGAAGGGAUGGGCCUGCACUGCAUCCUCACACAAAAUACACAAGGGUUUAGAUUUAUUUGAAGUCUCUAGUGGGUGACCAUUCUCUGAAAUUUUUUUCUUUGUUUCAAGAAGCAUUUGAAUGAUCCCAGAUCCACUUUUAGGCAUCCAAAAGCUUCAUUUCCAGGGAGCCUGCAUUCAUCUUUGGGCCAUUUUAUGACUCACUGAAGGUUAUUUCUCUGCCCUAUUGUUUCAGAGCCCAAGCAUAUUUGCCUAUAUCUUCUGCAGCCCAGCUGCUAUAUUUGCAACCAGACAUAAAUGGCUACAUUAGAACUUUUGAUUCCAAAUCAAAGCAAAAAAAAGUCUGAGCUUUAAUCCCCCAUCCCUGCAGUGGGAAAAUCACGAACUGCUUUUAUCCAGAACCUCUCUGCUUACACACAGGCACUCUGCACACCUCUGGCAGAGUGUCAGAGCUGAUUUCUCAUUGAAAAACUCAGCUGUUCCCUCACCCUGUGCUGCUCUCAGGAGCGAGGAGCCUUCCCUGGGUGACCAAAGGCACCUUCACAGCAAACUCAGGCCAGGCUGUAAUCCUGCAGCAGGCUGGUGCCAUCUGUAACCCCAUCCCCAGCCUCUCCUCGUGCACUUUCUGAAAGCAAAAUGCUGUAAAACAUUGAGAACAUCCCCGCGUGUCUUGCAGGCCGCCCUCCUUGCAGGCCGCACUCCUUUCAGCUGCAGGCCCAAGCUAUGUAAAGGCUUGGAUGAACAGCACUGAAGCUCAGCUAUAUUUAGGUCUCAGCAUGUUCAUGUUUCUAUUUGUUGCACAGCCCUGAGGAAUUCUUCAGAGAGCUUUUCAUGGCAUUUCUGUUGCCAGGGAAACGCCUCAUCAUGCGUGUCCUGAAUCCGCACAACCUCCAGCUCCUCUCCAGACGGAGAAACCCAUGUAGCAUUCAAUGAGGCAGGGACACAACAAAGAAAUAUCCUUCCAGGGAGGCAGGUCAUCACAAAGAGAGGGAACUCAGCUUGUGGCAUCUCUCCUGGGAAUCCAGAUUAUCCCACAGCUUCGUGUUGGCUGUGCUGGGACAGCACCGACAUCGUGGAUCCGCUGAGCUUUUGCUGUAUUAGAAAGCCGCCAUCCUGCCAAGUGACAGUCAUGGGAAGUGACAACUCCUCAGAAGAUUGAAGCAUCUGUCUCACUUGGUCCGUGCCCCCUCGCGCCAGGAGAGAGCCGACGUGACAUGAUCAGAGCAGAAGUUUGGACUGAAUCUUUCACAGUCUGUUAGCACAGGCAGGGAUGGCUCUUGGAGGGGUUUUUUGGAUUUUUUAUAUUUUUUUGUGAGGAUUCCACACGGUCAGCUCGGGGACCAGGGUGGGGGCAAGCGGAGCAGGGAGAGGAAGAUGAAAGGAUGAAUAUUUGCAUUUUCAAAUGCUUUUCCUCACUCCUGAGCAAAUGUAGGUCAGCUGCAGGAUCCCUUGCCCACAGGGCUGAUAGGAAAAGGUUUUUCUGAUGCUGCCUUUCCCUGGUUCACAAUCUGUGCAGUUUUUUCUGAAAGGAACAUCCAGCUGCUUUAAGCUGGCUCACAAUGAGCUAGAUUAGGGCAAACUGGGGUAUCUCAUUAUUUCUUUCUGUACUUAGUUGGCUUCUCAUCCUUUUUUUGCUCUCAGUUUUCUCAGAGUUCAGUCUUUUGGGCAGUCAUGGAUUGUACACAUUUUCCCACAGAAACCUGUGAAUCCUGGAGAUUUUUGCUGACUUUUGAAAUGCUAUUUUUUAUUCUCAUUUUUUCCUAUUCUUAAGUGCCAAUCUUGUGAAUUCUCAUUCAUUUUGGUGAGAGUUUUCUUUCAGGGAUAGUGUCAGACCACUUCUCCCCCUGAAGGAAUAGCUGCUGGGCAGCAGCUGAAGUUUUGACCUUCUGAGAACUUUUUAGAGGGCAUAAAACUCAUUUCCCAAAUCAAAGCCUGUGGUGGUGUCCAAAAGGAGUGCCCAUGAUGAAAUAUCCUUUAUGUGAACAGAAACAAUUUGUGUUUCCCAAGUUAGGCUCGAGGUCUUAUCUUGAAAUGCUUCUUUUCAUACCCAAUAGUCGAUUCAAUAUGUUGGUCGGGUUUGUGUUUAAAGGCAGAGACAUUUUUAUAAUAUAGGCACAAAGAUCAAUGCAAAACUAUUUAGGUAACUGGAAAUUUGCAAAAGAAUUCAUUGAAAUUUUCAUCCACUGCAAAGAAAACCUGAUUCAAUUGCUGAUGAAACCUUUGUGCUUCAUCCUUCUAAGAGAGAAUGGUUGAGCAGGUGGAGGUAAUGAGAAUCACACUUUUUAAGAGGAUAAGCAUUCACUCAUUUAUAUAUUGUUUUGUCCUUCAGUUAAACUGAAAAUGAGUACUCCUUUAAAGUGUCAAAAAGCAGAAAAAUUUAACGUUUAUUCAUUUUUGUGUCUGUUCCUAUGCCUUUACAAACAGAGCCUCCACACCUGAGGGAAAACUGCAAAAAAAGAGUAAACUGGAAGUGCCACAAAGUUUCAUAACAUUAUUUAAGAAAUAUCCAACAAUUAAUUCAUGGUUCAGGAGGAGGAAAAGGAAGGUGUUAUGUGAGGAAACAGAGGGAAGUCCCAGCACAGCACAAAGAUUAAUGUCUAUAAUGUCACACAUUACAGAUUUUCAUACUGCCCAACUGAAGCCACAAAGGGUCGUGCCAGGGUUAUAAAAAAGCCUCAUUUACAAGAAGGACCAAAAAGAGCAUGGGAUCUCUGAGAAUGCUGCCUCAGACCCAGGAGGGUCUGAAAACCAGAGGUUUUUCUUCUGGGAUUCAGAAGGAAAAGGUUUAAGCUGUGUCUGGGAUUCAUCAGUGCACAGUGCUCAGAUUGUCAAGGCAGGAGCAGCUCUCAAAUCGCUUCCCAACCCCUUUCUUCCAGCCACGACCACACUGGAAGGUGAAACUUCAGAUUAUCAGUGCAGAGAACAUCGUAGGUUGUCUUUGAUAACAGCAUAAUAGGGGAACAGCACAGAAAUAAGUGGCAAUAAUUAUACAUUUCCUUUUUUUCGUCUUUCAAAGGUCAGAUUAAAGUCACAGAAAGAAAGUUUCACAAGGAGACAGAGAGAAGAAUCACUUCUGUGGCUUGAGAAAACGUUAAAUCCGUCUCUCUUCAUGUGUGAUUUUAUGAGUCUUUACACCUCUGUUAUAAAUUACACAUACAGUUGAGCUUGGAAUUAAAAGUAAAUCUAAUUUCCACAAAGACCUGGCUGUGAUUUGGGGCAGUGAAAUGCUGGAGAACUACAAACAGCAAUCCUGGCUAACAUGGGAAGGGAUUUUCCUUCACCUGUUCUUUCAGUACAGAUGAAGAUAAAGAUGAAAUCAUUUCUUCCCAGGACUACAGGAAGUACAAGUUGUAGAUUCCAGAGGAAAAGUUGUUUUAUUUCAGCAUGGAAGGGGUGACAGGAGCAGUGAAAGGAUUCUGUGACACAGACAAAAAGCAACAUUUUACAUCUGCAUUUCUUUACAGGGGGAAAAAACCUUGUGAGAUAAAAACCAAAAUUACUGCUGGUUUCUCUGAAAAAUUUAGUCCACAAACUAAAUGUUUUUUAAAAAUUUAAAAUUUUUUUGUUAAAAUAGUGGCUUUUAAAAGGAGCCACUUUGUGCAUGGUCUGUGGUGGAAGGACAAGGAGUCUGAUCCAGCUGUGGCUCCCAGGUGUCCCCACUGCUGCUCUGCACCAUCACUGCACUUCUGUCCCUCUCACCAUUCAUUUUUUAAGGAAUUUCAAGUUUUCACCAUUGAUUUUUGCCUUGCAAACAGGGCAGGAACAUCCCUGCAGGGUUUUGCACCUGCAUCAUGCUCAGUGAAAAAAAAUAAUGUUGAUUGAUUAAACAACAACAACAACAACAACAGCAAAAAGAGAUUGAAUAUUUCCGUAGCUGUUCUAUACAAUGGUAGAAAUACAUAAAUACCUGACACUGUGCUUCUCUUCUUUGUGUGCUAUUAAUGUGACAUGUAGCAAUUUAACAUUUAGCACAGCUUUUAAUUUUAAAAAUCCUGUUAAAUAAACUUCUAAAGAAAAUGUGAUUAUAUGAUAUGGGUUUUCAAAAUUUUCUGACACCAGAGAUAUCAAAAAGACAUUUCAACAUCCAGUUUCAAUUGUGAGUUGCUGUUAAAACCUAUGAUUUCAACAACAACAAAAAAUCCUAUGAAGAAAGGGGGUUUGGGUUAUUUCAAACUUACAUUUUGAGAAGGGAUUUUUUUCAAGCUUCUGAAGCAAUGUUACCAUUAGAAUUUUUGAUACCAGUAAUAUUUCUGAAUUCUGCUACUCCUCAGGAUGACAUUUUCCACAGAAGCCACAAAUGUGAGGCUUUAAUGACAACAUCAAUAAAUUAAAGACCAGAGAGAAUCACAUCACAGGAGUCAGGAGAAGUCCAAAUUUUCAUUUGCAUUCAAGAUUUUUAUCCAGACUUUCCUAAAAUAUUUGCAGAGCUUACAUCUGUACAUUGCCUAGCCCCAGAUUUCUAACAAACCAAACAAUAUGAGGUGUUUGAAUUUGGGAUUUUGGUUCUGUCCUGUUAAAGAUUAAAAUAUUUCAACAAUG